rnacentral:sRNA from 1 species
GGGAAAUAGCGCGGCGCGGGCGGUAGUUGCUGUGGUUUCCGUUCUGAGCUCGCAGCUGAAGAUCGCGGCCUUAGCGUUCCCGCGUCCGAGUCCGGCCAUCAGUGGCUGCGGAUCCGGAGGCCAGGAGCUCAACCACCCUUCUUCGGAACAGGGUCGGCCCGCUGCUGUGCCUUGGACGCUCGGUGCCUAUAUCUACUCCGGGGCCUAGGUCGGCUCCGGGGGCGGCUUAGGAGAAGGCCGUCGGCGAGAUGUUCAAAAACACGUUCCAGAGCGGCUUCCUCUCCAUCCUCUACAGCAUCGGCAGCAAGCCUCUGCAAAUCUGGGACAAAAAGGUACGGAAUGGCCACAUCAAAAGAAUCACUGAUAAUGAUAUCCAGUCCCUCGUGCUAGAGAUUGAAGGGACAAAUGUAAGCACCACAUAUAUCACAUGCCCUGCAGACCCCAAGAAGACACUGGGAAUUAAACUUCCUUUCCUUGUCAUGAUUAUCAAAAACCUGAAGAAGUAUUUUACCUUCGAAGUGCAGGUACUAGAUGACAAGAAUGUGCGUCGUCGCUUUCGGGCAAGUAACUACCAGAGCACCACCCGGGUCAAACCCUUCAUCUGCACCAUGCCCAUGCGGCUGGAUGACGGCUGGAACCAGAUUCAGUUCAACUUACUCGACUUCACGAGGCGAGCAUACGGCACCAAUUACAUUGAGACCCUCAGAGUGCAGGUACUGCUCCUUUCCCAGAUAGAGCCCUGGGUUGGGGAUAGGGCACACUGCGUCUAAUAUUGGCUUGUGGCCCACGUAGCAGAACAGUGUGGGUUUCUGGCUUCAGUUGCCACACUGUCCAGGGAGCUUUGGCCUCACAGAGGUCCAAGAAGUAUUCAGAAGUCGGGUCAGGUAUAGAGGUGAAUGCAGCAAGUAAGACCUCCCUCUUGCCAGAAUCCAUCCCUAAGACAAGCCAAGGAGACGCCGGAGAUGAAGCGUUCCCAGUCCUAGAAGAGGGCCUCUAGAAGAUUCAGGAAAAGGGGGAGAAGAGUCACAUUUAGCCUCUCAAAAGAAGCAUUGCCUUGACAGAUCCAUGCAAAUUGUCGCAUCCGACGGGUUUACUUCUCAGACAGACUCUACUCAGAAGAUGAGCUGCCGGCAGAGUUCAAACUGUAUCUCCCAGUUCAGAACAAGGCAAAGCAAUAACUGGAAUUGUGACUCAAGGGAUAGACCCUGGAUGUGACUCUUCUUUUUAAAAGGAAACUAUGUGGAGGAUGAUGCAAAAACAUAUUUAUCUUAGUUCGCUGUGCUGUAGUUCUGUUAUUUAUACUUGGUGUUGCUUGUCAUGGACACCGGUGACCAUGCCGUAACUCUGUGACUGCAUUGUAAGUGCAGAGGGGGUAAGCAGUCCUGUGAGUGGCGCAUGAAUGCUGGAGCUUAUUCCACCGCCUGCCCCAGUGUAGGGGGAGAUACCUUUACCGUGAACUUACAGAAUUAAAGAUGGCCCAUAAGGAAUUCCAGACCAAUAUUUCUUCCUGCGGUUUAUUCUAUGUUUUAUAUAUUAUCUAAAUAUAUGUAUAUGCUGUGUCAUACUCAUAAUCUGGAAAUGAAUAAAAUGAUAUAU